UGAGGAAUAUUGGGCAAUGGAGGCAACUCUGACCCAGCCAUGCCGCGUGCAGGAAGACGGCCCUAUGGGUUGUAAACUGCUUUUAUACGGGAAGAAACACCCCCUCGUGAGGGGGCUUGACGGUACCGUAAGAAUAAGCACCGGCUAACUCCGUGC
rnacentral:rRNA from 1 species